rnacentral:rRNA from 1 species
AUUGAACGCAGGCGGCAGGCCUAACAGAUGCAAGUCGAGCGAGCGGCGGACGGGUGAGUGAUGUCUGGGAAACUGCCUGCGGGAGGGGGAUAACUACUGGAAACGGUAGCUCAUAAAGCAGACCAUCAAAUGUGCCCCGAUUGGCUUAGCUUGUAGGUGGGUUAACGCAUCACCUAGGCGACGGUCCCUAGCUGGUCUGAGAGGCUGACCAGCCACACGGGAACGGAGACACGGUCCAGACUCCUACGGGAGGCAGCAGUGGUGAUUAUUGCACAAUGGGCGCAAGCCUGAUGCAGCCAUGCCGCGUGUGUGAAGAGGGCCUUCGGGUUGUAAAGCACUUUCAGCGGGGAGGCGUUACCCGCAGAAGAAGCACCGGCUAACUCCGUGCCAGCCGCCGCGGUAAUUC